rnacentral:rRNA from 1 species
AUUGAACGCUGGCGGAAUGCUUUACACAUGCAAGUCGAACGGCAGCACGGACUUCGGUCUGGUGGCGAGUGGCGAACGGGUGAGUAAUGUAUCGGAACGUGCCCAGUCGUGGGGGAUAACGUAGUGAAAAUUACGCUAAUACCGCAUACGAUCUAUGGAUGAAAGCGGGGGAUCGCAAGACCUCGCGCGAUUGGAGCGGCCGAUAGCAGAGUUAGGUAGUGGGUGGGGUAAAGGCCCACCAAGCCAACGAUCUGUAGCUGGUCUGAGAGGACGACCAGCCACACUGGAACGGAACCACGGUCCAGUCUCCUACGGGAGGCAGCAGUGGGGUAUUUUGGACAAGGGGCGAAAGCCUGAUCCAGACAUUCCGCGUGGAGGAUGAAGGCCCUCGAGUUGUAAACUGCUUUUGUACAGAACGAAAAGGUUUCUACUAAUACUAGGAGCUCAUGACGGUACUGUAAGAAUAAGCACCGGCUAACUACGUGCCAGCCGCCGCGGUAA